GUAACGGGGAAUUAGGGUUCGAUUCCGGAGAGGGAGCCUGAGAAACGGCUACCACAUCCAAGGAAGGCAGCAGGCGCGCAAAUUACCCAAUCCCGACACGGGGAGGUAGUGACAAUAAAUAACAAUACGGGGUUCUUUCGGAUCUCGUAAUUGGAAUGAGUACAAUUUAAAUCUCUUAACGAGGAACAAUUGGAGGGCAAGUCUGGUGCCAGCAGCCGCGGUAAUUCCAGCUCCAAUAGCGUAUAUUAAAGUUGUUGCAGUUAAAAAGCUCGUAGUUGAAUUUCGGGGUCAGCAGGUCGGUCGUGCCACUGGUAUGAACUGGCCUCGCUGAUCCCUCCCUCUUGACGAACUGUGAUGCCAUUAAUUUGGUGUCGCAGGGAAUCAGGACUGUUACUUUGAAAAAAUUAGAGUGUUUAAAGCAGGCUCACGCUUGAAUACAUUAGCAUGGAAUAAUGAAAUAGGACGUUUGAUCCUAUUUUGUUGGUUUCUAGGAUUGACGUAAUGAUUAAUAGGGAUAGUUGGGGGCAUUAGUAUUCAAUUGUCAGAGGUGAAAUUCUUGGAUUUAUUGAAGACUAACUACUGCGAAAGCAUUUGCCAAGGAUGUUUUCAUUAAUCAAGAACGAAAGUUAGGGGAUCGAAGACGAUCAGAUACC
rnacentral:rRNA from 1 species